rnacentral:rRNA from 1 species
UACAGAGACUGCAAGCGUUAUUCGGAUUCAUUGGGCGUAAAGGGCGCGCAGGCGGCCAAGUGUGUCAGGUGUGAAAUCCCGGAGCUUAACUCCGGAACUGCGCCUGAAACUGCAUGGCUAGAGCAUUGGAGAGGGGAGUGGAAUUCACGGUGUAGCAGUGAAAUGCGUAGAUAUCGUGAGGAACACCAGAGGCGAAGGCGACUUGCUGGACAAUUGCUGACACUCAGGCGCGAAAGCGUGGGUAGCAAAAGGG